GGUAGACGCCCCGAGUGGUGUCGGUGAUGGGUCCUGGCUGGAAGCCCAGGGCCUGCAGCUCCCGCCGCAACUCCAGGUCCGACAGGCCGGCCAUGGCCAGGACACCGCCCCCGGCGCGCAGCGUACCCGGAACUGCUCCCGCCGGUGACCGCGGCAAGGCGGGCGGGGCCGCACGCCAUGAUGAGAAGGGCCGCCCAGUGUCCUGUAAGUGGUCGAGGCUGCUGUCCUGGAAACUAACUGGAGCAGCUCGUUUGGCAAAAAAAAAAAGAGUUAUUUGAGCUGAUUGCAAGAAAUCGAACAGUGGCAGCAGGAGGAAAACGAGGAAAGAGGAAAGAAAGGAGCCGACACUUCAGAAGAGGCUCUCUGCCAGCGCAUACAGAUGUGGGUGGGCUAGGUCCCCGUUGCAGCUCAUUACUGGGAAGCACAUCAGGGCCCACAGGCCGAGGGCUGGGGAUGAGCAGGCUGGGGUGCCCAGAGCUGAGCAGGGCUCUCUGUGGAAAGGAGCGCCAGAGUCUUCCCCUGCUCUUGUGCUCACUGGAGCAAUUCCCAUUUUUAAAAAUGCAGCCCAUGCAGGGUGUCCAUGGGGGGAGGCUGAGGCAGGAGGGUGGCAAGUUUGGGCCCAGCCUGGGCAACUUGGCAAGAUCCUGUCUCCAAAAAAAAAAAUAAAUAAAA
rnacentral:lncRNA from 1 species